CCCGGGAAGGGUAUAACCCGGGAACUGGGUAUAAUCCCCGAUAGAUCUCGGUCGCUGGAAAGCCCCGAGAUCGAAAGCUCCGGCGCCAGAGGAUGGGUCUGCGGCCUAUCAGGUAGUAGUGGGUGUAGCGUACCUACUAGCCUACGACGGGUACGGGUUGUGAGAGCAAGAGCCCGGAGAUGGAUUCUGAGACACGAAUCCAGGCCCUACGGGGUGCAGCAGGCGCGAAAACUUUACAAUGCCGGCAACGGCGAUAAGGGGACCUCGAGUGCCAGGUUACAAAUCUGGCUGUCGUGAUGCCUAAAAAGCAUUGCAUAGCAAGGGCCGGGCAAGACCGGUGCCAGCCGCCGCGGUAACACCGGCGGCUCGAGUGGUAACCGUUAUUAUUGGGUCUAAAGGGUCUGUAGCCGGCCAGAUAAGUCUCUUGAGAAAUCCAGCAGCUCAACUGUUGGGCUUUCAGGAGAUACUGUCUGGCUCGAGGCCGGGAGAGGUGAGAGGUACUUCAGGGGUAGGGGUGAAAUCUUGUAAUCCUUGAAGGACCACCAGUGGCGAAGGCGUCUCACCAGAACGGACCUGACGGCAAGGGACGAAAGCUAGGGGCACGAACCGGAUUAGAUACCCGGGUAGUCCUAGCCGUAAACGAUACUCGCUAGGUGUCGGCCACGGUGCGACCGUUGUCGGUGCCGUAGGGAAGCCGUGAAGCGAGCCACCUGGGAAGUACGGCCGCAAGGCUGAAACUUAAAGGAAUUGGCGGGGGAGCAC
rnacentral:rRNA from 1 species